AUAAUUUAUGAAGGGGAUGGAAUCCAGAUUCACUUGACUUGAUGAUGUAAUUCUAUUUACAGAUGUGGAAAAUUAGUCAUUGUAAUAGUGUACUAGUGUUGUGUGGCAGCUAAUAGACUAAACUGUGAACAAAGGAUUCCCUAGCUAAAAUCUCAGCUUUGCUACCACUUGUUAGCAUCAGGAAAGAUACAACUGGCAAUAGGAGCAAUAAUACUUAUCUGCUAUAUCAUGUUGUUUUAAAGAUGCACUCUGAAUGUAUAUAGUUAAUGUUAUUCUAACAGUUGAAGUAUGUAUGAAAACAUUAUAUUUCUGUAAUUUCUUAAAAUUAAAUAUACAUUUUUCAUCUUUGGGAAAAGUAACUAAAUAAAAAGCUCAUUGGUUUGACCCACACUUGCACUCAUCAGAGUUCUAUUUGUGGUGGUCUAAAGGAGGCGAUGUGAGAACUUUCUCUAAUUCCUUCUUCCUUUGCAGGCUCCAGAAUCACAUCCUACCCCAUGGUUUCUGAAUCAGGUUUCUCCAGAACCCUAGGGUUCAACAAUGAGUGGGGAAAAAAUAGUGCAAGAAUUCUAGUUCCCUCCAUAAAUUGAAGACAGUCGUCUCUUUCUAGAGUGGAAUCUGAUACAGGGGGAUGUUGUAUCCAGCCUCAAAUUACAGGGAGAGAUGCCUGCCAUAGAUUUGGGCGAAACAUCAGGAGAGAAUACUUCUAGAACAUGACCAUACAGCCCGGAAAACAUACAACAACCCUGUGAUCCCGGCCAUGAAAGCCUUUGACAACAUAUCUAAAAUGCGUUGGUGGAGUAUAAGAACCCCAGAAUAUGCAACCAAAUGAAAGGAGAGUCUUUUGCUGGAAGUCAGUUUAAAGUAUCCUGUAAGUAUUGUACCUUUUCUUUAGUAACUAGAAUUGGGAUUGUUAGUUAUGGAAAGAUCUCAAUCUGGACAAAUGCAAAGUCAUUUUUUCAUUGGGAUGCAAGUGUAUUGAAUUGGAGCAUGCUGCUAAGGACAUUUGUUCUUUUAUUGUUGUCUGGAGUACAAUAUUUUAUUGCUCAUCCUCUUAGUAAUGAUAGACUUCUUAUCACCUUAUCACACAGAGCGGAAGAAGCAUCUUAGGAUGCUUCUGCCCCAGUUCACCCAUGAACCCCCACGCCACCCAUCAAAUGAUGUAGGGUGACUACCGGUGGGGCUCCAUGGGCAAACUGGAGUGGCAGCAUGGUGGGAAGCUGCUGCCCUGUGUUCAGUUAGGAGUGACAAUGCUUUCCCACAUGGGAUGGGAAAGCAUCAUUUGACGGCCAGGGCACCAGAAUUGCCCUGCUGCCACCCAGAUCGUCACAGAGACUGGCGAAUUACGAUGCUGGACCUCAUCAAUGUGAUGAGGUUGUUAGUGUGAGCAUACUGAUGAAGUUAUUGAAACAAAACAUUAUGUUGUUUCAUUUCUUUUUGUUAUUGUUUUUCAUUGACUUUAACUUAUUCUGUCUUAUACCCAUAUAAAUUGCAUUUGUAAAUGUGAUUUUUGCAUUAUAUUUUUGUGUGUGUUGGACUUUUAUAUAGGUAUUAAGAUAGAAGCACUUUUAUAUAGGUAUUAAGAUAGAAGAGGGAGGGGGAGGGGCGAAAAACUACUGGACAUAAAUGGGAGAUAAAAGUGGAACUAACAAGUGUAAUGUUACCGAGAAUAUGUGAUUGGAUGUGUAUGUUGAUGGAUUUUGUUGUUGUUUCGCUGGUAUCUACAAUAAAAAACACAUUAAAAAAAAGAUAGAAGCACUAAAGAUUAAUCUGCAGAUAUUAUUAAUCUUUGGUCUGUGCUAUAUUUUGUAUAUUUAUUGAUAUGUUUUAAGCACAUUAAUCACUUGUAGGAUCAUCAAUGUUACACUACCUUAUUAAUUAACACUGACUAUUGUAGUUAGCAGUGUGUACUGUUAGGG